CGAACGCUGACGGCGUGUCUAAUACAUGCAAGUCGAACGCACUCUCGUUUAGAUUGAAGGAGCUUGCUCCUGAUUGAUAAACAUUUGAGUGAGUGGCGGACGGGUGAGUAACACGUGGGUAACCUGCCCUAAAGUGGGGGAUAACAUUUGGAAACAGAUGCUAAUACCGCAUAAAACCUAACACCGCAUGGUGUAGGGUUGAAAGAUGGUUUCGGCUACCACUUUAGGAUGGACCCGCGGUGCAUUAGUUAGUUGGUGAGGUAAAGGCUCACCAAGACCGUGAUGCAUAGCCGACCUGAGAGGGUAAUCGGCCACACUGGGACUGAGACACGGCCCAGACUCCUACGGGAGGCAGCAGUAGGGAAUCUCCCACAAUGGACGAAAGUCUGAUGGAGCAACGCCGCGUGAGUGAAGAAGGUUUUCGGAUCGUAAACUCUGUUGUUGGAGAAGAAUGUAUCUGAUAGUAACUGAUCAGGUAGUGACGGUAUCCAACCAGAAAGCCACGGCUAACUACGUG
rnacentral:rRNA from 1 species